GCGCCCAGCGAGGCGCGGCGACCCACCAGCAACGGCCUUCUAAGCCGUAGGCCGCAGGUUCGAAUCCUGCAGGGCGGGCCA
rnacentral:tRNA from 2 species